CAGUUAAGCUAGUCCUGCCCAACCAACGCAAACCGCUGGAAAAGGACAUGCCGUGGAUUGCUGCUGUAGAUCCAUUCAACGCCGAUGUUCUGUAUUACCAGUCUGGCCACGAUGUUAUUGCCAUGGACAUGGCUAACGGGGAGGUGAUGGGAAAGAGAGCUUUUCCAGAAAGCAUCACAGGCCUGAGCCCUUGCAACACCGCUUUCUUCCUCCCGUGCGUGCUCCCAACAUGGCUUGAAUCAAGCCAUGUCCCUGCUGCAGGUGCACUUCCGAGAAAGACACCCAAUUGCACAAAGAAUACUUUGGCGGAGACGUUGGUUCGUGUAGACAAAGACCAGAAGAAGUGAAGCACGCUUAUCCUUGAUUUCUUAAAUUUGAAUGGCAGCAAAGUUGGUGUUUUUUUUUUUGGAAUGGAGCAACGUUGAUGGUGGCACCUGAAGGACAUGGACCCUCAUUUUGGAGAAUUCCGGGACAAUUCUGGGCUUGCUUAUUUGCUGAUGCAAUUCCCCUUUGAAACAUUGGAUGUUCUUAUAAAUUUUUGAGAUACAUUUCACAGCAGUUUAGAUGGCAGCCCUUAGAA